rnacentral:rRNA from 1 species
AUUGAACGCUGGCGGCAGGCCUAACACAUGCAAGUCGAGCGGAGCGGCGGACGGGUGAGUAAUGCCUAGGAAUCUGCCUGGUAGUGGGGGCUAACGUCCGGAAACGGGCGCUAAUACCGCAUACUAUCAGAUUAGCCUAGGUCGGAUUAGCUAGUUGGUGGGGUAAAGGCCUACCAAGGCAUCGUUCCGUAAAUGUUCUGAGAGGAUGAUAAGUCACACUGGAACUGAGAGACGGUCCCGACUCCUACGGGAGGCAGCAGUGGGGAAUAUUGGACGAUGGGCGAAAGCCUGAUCCAGCCAUGCCGCGUGUGUGAAGAAGGUCUUCGGAUUGUAAAGCACUUUAAGUUGGGAGGCGUUCCCAACAGAAUAAGCACCGGCUAACUUCGUGCCAGCAGCCGCGGUAAUAC